UCAAAAUAAAAAAUCACAGCAAAAUCACCGGAACAGGAGCUCUCCGCGGAGAAGCCCAGGACAGAGCUCUCCGUGGUGGCGGGGACGGGAGCGGGGGCGGACACGGACGCGGGACGAUGUCGUCGCCGGAGUUGAGGACGGCGGCGGCCAAACCCACUGCCAGCCAGGAAGAGAUGAACAGGUUUCUGGAAAGAGGAUCGAUUGGAGGGACCGUACGGAGGAGAGAGGGAAGCUGGGACCGACUGCUAAUUAGAUGGGAUGGGCAGAGAAUUAAGGAAAAGAAAAGGAGAAUUAAGGAAAGGGGAGGACAGGUGGUUGGUAUAUACGGUAGGUGCAAAUGCCAUGCAGCGUACCGGGAGGUUUGGCUGCCAGACUUGCCAAGAUCGUGCCAAAAGGUUGCAACUGCGCGACCGCGGAAGCGCCCAAAAUCAAACCCUCUCGCUCGCCAGUCGCCACCAUCAAUGGCGGUUCGCCGCGGCCGGCGGCGACCACGCCCUCCCUCCUCGACCCAACCGCUCCCUCCGCGGCACCCCGUUCGUUAAGCGCUUGCGCAAGGCCGACCCCUGCGUUCAGCAGACGAGCCUCUCUCCCUUACUGACGGCGGCCUCACAUGCAGGGUCUUUCCGCAGCUCCACUCCCACGGGCCACGGGAUCUGAUGCGAUGGCUGUGCGCGCGUUCCCGCGACCCGCGGCGCGGUUACGCUCUCCGGCAGGCACCCUUACCUGAGCCUCCCCGCCCGGCUGCCUCGCCCGACAACUUCAUCCUCACUCCUCAGCGAGCGCCCUCUAAGUGCAGAGGCGGACCUUUGAAAAGACUGAAAAUUGUCUGCAGUGGAACUCCCGUUUUGUUAAAGUAGUUUUCGAGAUUGCAUGGCGUGGUUAACUCUAUGAUAUUACAGGAUAUGUAUGGAAGGUAAGACUCUUCUGUAUUCCAUAAGUUUCCGCUACUAGAUACAUUUCUUACAGCUGUAGUCUUUUAGGAGAGUGAGGUUCAUCUUUGAUGGGGCUUCUCAUCACUGGUUUCUUAUUUGAGAGCACAACUACAUGAGAGACAUGAUAAUCAACAUACAUGGUACACACCUUGGGCCACCAUGCCUGGUGGUUGGUUCUGAUGGGAAACAACCUAGUUUGUCAGUUACCUAAAAGGUUUCCAUUGUGUACUAUUAACUAUUGUAAUUAUGAGCCAUUAAUUCUUACUUUGCACCAGAGAAAUACGAAGAAAACAAUCAUAGUCCAAAUCAUUUUUCAUUAGGACGCUCUUUGCUUCACCCCUCUGAUUUUAGUCUGUCAUUGCAUCAUCCAAUCAAACUCUGUUUAGCUGGAUAGUCAUCUUGAUUCCUUUCAUUAAUUAUGACCAAUUCACGAUAUCACUUUCUAUUUUCAUCGAUCACCCAGUGGAUCAAAUCCAGUUCUAGCAGUAGCAGCAGAAGCCUGGGUAGCAGUUAAAUUUAUGCUGUUAAAAAGCCACACAAUAAAUAAACCAUACACACAAACUGUUUUAUUCGUUCACUCAAACACAUACAGCGACAUGGGGGCCAAGGUCACAUGUAUCACAGCAUAUCAGAGAGGCAUCAAGCCUCAUGAUUUUAUUAUUGUCACACCAUAUGAUUAUAACCUCUUAACACAUCAGUUUAUUUAUUCUCGGCCUACUUCCACACAGUAGCCUUAUUUCUGUUUACCAGCACCUCUUGGCCCU